GACGAACGCUGGCGGCGUGCUUAACACAUGCAAGUCGAACGGAAAGGCCCUGCUUUUGUGGGGUGCUCGAGUGGCGAACGGGUGAGUAACACGUGAGUAACCUGCCCUUGACUUUGGGAUAACUUCAGGAAACUGGGGCUAAUACCGGAUAGGAGCUCCUGCUGCAUGGUGGGGGUUGGAAAGUUUCGGCGGUUGGGGAUGGACUCGCGGCUUAUCAGCUUGUUGGUGGGGUAGUGGCUUACCAAGGCUUUGACGGGUAGCCGGCCUGAGAGGGUGACCGGCCACAUUGGGACUGAGAUACGGCCCAGACUCCUACGGGAGGCAGCAGUGGGGAAUAUUGAACAAUGGGCGGAAGCCUGAUGCAGCAACGCCGCGUGCGGGAUGACGGCCUUGGGGUUGUAAAACGCUUUCGCCUGUGACGAAGCGUGAGUGACGGUAAUGGGUAAAGAAGCACCGGCUAACUACGUG
rnacentral:rRNA from 1 species